GCAGGUGGUGACCGGCAAUCCCACGCCACACUUCCUGUCCGUGUGCCGCCCCAACUACACGGCCCUGGGCUGCGGGCCACCUUCUCCGGAUCGGCCAGGUCCCGACCGCUUUGUCACUGACCAGGGUGCCUGCGCUGGCAGCCCCAGCCUCGUGGCCGCCGCGCGCCGCGCCUUCCCCUGCAAGGAUGCGGCCCUCUGCGCCUACGCGGUCACCUACACAGCGAUGUACGUGACUCUCGUGUUCCGCGUGAAGGGCUCCCGCCUGGUCAAACCCUCGCUCUGCCUGGCCCUGCUGUGCCCAGCCUUCCUGGUGGGCGUGGUCCGCGUGGCCGAGUACCGAAACCACUGGUCGGACGUGCUGGCUGGCUUCCUGACAGGGGCGGCCAUCGCCACCUUUUUGGUCACCUGCGUUGUGCAUAACUUUCAGAGCCGGCCACCCUCUGGCCGAAGGCUCUCUCCCUGGGAGGACCUGGGCCAAGCCCCCACCAUGGACAGCCCCCUCGAAAAGUUAAGUGUGGCGCAGGUAAGGGGGGCCGGGGGCUGCUCCCGGCUGGAGAGGGUGGUGGGUGGAGGGGGCCAAGGAGACAGGAAGGAAGUCAGGCAAGAGGUGGGGGUCUCAGAACCAUGGGGAAGUGGAGGGAUCACCCAUCUCUGUGGAUAUAGGUCCUGGGGGGACAGCCCCAAAGAAUGAAAGGGAGCACCCCCGUCUUCUUCCCAAGGGGACACGGUUAAUCAUGAGAACUGUGGUUGUCUUUUCCAUGGGGCUCUUCACCUGAUGAGCUCCUUGUGGCUGUGGCCGGUAGGGCCCAGGGGGCCACUAGCCCCUUCCAUCUGUCUCUUUGUCUCAGGAACCCGAGGUCUGCAGGCCGCAUUCGACACCGGCACGGCUCACCCCAUCCAGUG
rnacentral:sRNA from 1 species